AGUAAGAUGCCUGAUUAAAGGGUCAAUUUGAUAGAAUGAAAAAAGUAAAAAUUUACUCUUACUG
rnacentral:tRNA from 1 species